GUCGAACGAUUAAAGCUCCCUUUCGGGGAGUGCAUAAAGUGGCGCACGGGUGAGUAACACGUAAGUAAUCUACCCUCGGGUGGGGAAUAACGUUCGGAAACGGACGCUAAUACCGCAUAAUGCAGCGGCACCGCAAGGUGACAGUUGUUAAAGAUUUAUUGCCUGGGGAGGAGCUUGCGGCAGAUUAGCUUGUUGGUAAGGUAACGGCUUACCAAGGCUACGAUCUGUAUCCGGUCUAAGAGGACGGUCGGACACACUGACACUGAAUAACGGGUCAGACUCCUACGGGAGGCAGCAGUCGGGAAUUUUGGGCAAUGGGGGAAACCCUGACCCAGCAACGCCGCGUGAAGGAUGAAGUAUUUCGGUAUGUAAACUUCGAAAGAAUAGGAAGAUUAAUGACGGUACUAUUUAUAAAGUCCGGCUAACUACGUGCCAGCAGCCGCGGUAAUACGUAGGGACCAAGCGUUGUUCGGAUUUACUGGGCGUAAAGGGCGCGUAAGCCGCGCGGUAAGUCACUUGUGAAAUCUCUGAACUUAACUCAAAACCGCCAAGUGAUACUGCAGUGCUAGAAUGGUGAAAGGGCCAUCGGAAUUCUUGGGUGUAGCGGGUGAAAUGCGUAGAUAUCAAGAGGAACACCUGAGGUGAAGACGGGUUUGCUGGGCCAACACUGACGCUGAUGCGCGAAAGCCAGGGGAGCAAACGGGAUUAGAUACCCCGGUAGUCCUGGCCCUAAACGAUGAAUG
rnacentral:rRNA from 1 species